UACGUAGGGGGCGAGCGUUGUCCGGAAUGAUUGGGCGUAAAGGGCGCGUAGGCGGCCGUGUAAGUCUGGAGUGAAAGUCCUGCUUUUAAGGUGGGAAUUGCUUUGGAUACUGCAAGGCUUGAGUGCAGGAGAGGUAAGUGGAAUUCCCAGUGUAGCGGUGAAAUGCGUAGAGAUCGGGAGGAACACCAGUGGCGAAGGCGACUUACUGGACUGUAACUGACGCUGAGGCUCGAAAGUGCGGGUAUCAAAC
rnacentral:rRNA from 1 species